UAGCCACACAGGACAAAUGUUGUCUCUC
rnacentral:piRNA from 1 species